rnacentral:sRNA from 1 species
GCAUAGCCCCGAUAGUAGCGGCAUCCUUUUUCUUUUUUCAAAAAAAGAAAAAGAUAUAGCGGAUAGCGGGAUUAAGC